UUGGCGGUCUCGCUGCAGCCUCCAUUGCGUAGUAGCUAACACCUCGCAACUGGAACGCGGCGCGGCCAUGCCGUAAAACCCCAACUUCUGAAUGUUGACCUCGGAUCAGGUAGGAAUACCCGCUGAACUUAAGCAUAUCAAUAGGCCGGGAGGGGAAA
rnacentral:rRNA from 1 species